AUUGAACGCUGGCGGCAUGCUUUACACAUGCAAGUCGGACGGCAGCGGGGUAGUGCUUGCACUACUGCCGGCGAGUGGCGAACGGGUGAGUAACAUAUCGGAACGUACCGAGCAGUGGGGGAUAACUAAUCGAAAGAUUAGCUAAUACCGCAUAUAUUCUGAGGAAGAAAGCAGGGGACCUUUGGGCCUUGCGCUGUUUGAGCGGCCGAUAUCUGAUUAGCUGGUUGGUGGGGUAAAGGCCUACCAAGGCGACGAUCAGUAGCGGGUCUGAGAGGAUGAUCCGCCACACUGGGACUGAGACACGGCCCAGACUCCUACGGGAGGCAGCAGUGGGGAAUUUUGGACAAUGGGCGCAAGCCUGAUCCAGCCAUGCCGCGUGUCUGAAGAAGGCCUUCGGGUUGUAAAGGACUUUUGUCAGGGAAGAAAAGGCUGUUGCUAAUAUCAGCGGCUGAUGACGGUACCUGAAGAAUAAGCACCG
rnacentral:rRNA from 1 species